rnacentral:rRNA from 1 species
GACGAACGCUGGCGGCGCGCCUAACACAUGCAAGUCGAACGAGCGAGCGAGAGCUUGCUUUCUCGAGCGAGUGGCGAACGGGUGAGUAACGCGUGAGGAACCUGCCUCAAAGAGGGGGACAACAGUUGGAAACGACUGCUAAUACCGCAUAAGCCCACGGUGCCGCAUGGCACAGAGGGAAAAGGAGCAAUCCGCUUUGAGAUGGCCUCGCGUCCGAUUAGCUAGUUGGUGAGGUAAUGGCCCACCAAGGCGACGAUCGGUAGCCGGACUGAGAGGUUGAACGGCCACAUUGGGACUGAGACACGGCCCAGACUCCUACGGGAGGCAUCAGUGGGGAAUAUUGCACAAUGGGGGAAACCCUGAUGCAGCGACGCCGCGUGGAGGAAGAAGGUCUUCGGAUUGUAAACUCCUGUUGUUGGGGAAGAUAAUGACGGUACCCAACAAGGAAGUGACGGCUAACUACGUG